GGAAGUAAAAGUCGUAACACGGUUUCCGUAGGUGAACCUGCGGAAGGAUCAUUCAUAAUAAAGUGUUUUAUGGCACUUUUUAAAAAUCCAUAUCCACCUUGUGUGCAAUGUUAGAUCUCGUCAAUCUUGGCGAGAUUUUUAUACAUCAACUCAUUCUUUAACUAAUUUGUCUGAAAAAUAUUAUGAAUACUUAAUUCAAAAUACAACUUUCAACAACGGAUCUCUUGGCUCUC
rnacentral:misc_RNA from 1 species